UAAAUUUUACACGGAUAACUGUGGUAAUUCUAGAGCUAAUACGUGCAAUUAGCUCGCUUCCUUGUGGAGCGAGCGCAGUUAUUAGAUCAAAACCAAUCCGGCCUUCGGGUCGGUACAAUUGGUGACUCUGAAUAACCGAAGCGGAGCGCAUGGUCUCGUACCGGCGCCAGAUCUUUCAAGUGUCUGACUUAUCAGCUUGUUGUUAGGUUACGUUCCUAACAAGGCUUCAACGGGUAACGGGGUAUCAGGGUCCGAUACCGGAGAGGGAGCCUGAGAAACGGCUACCACAUCCAAGGAAGGCAGCAGGCGCGCAAAUUACCCACUCCUAGCACAGGGAGGUAGUGAC
rnacentral:rRNA from 1 species